CAGAGAGUGCCAUCUAGUGUGCUCUUAAAAUGACAACACUGAAGCUUCAUGAAGCUUUGACAAAUCCUGCACUCCCCGUCAGUUCUGCUUCACUAGUUAUAUUGGCCGAAAUCUACCUCUGCGCAUCGAUAAGUGAGAUGAACCUGAGAGUUAUAGAAGUUAACUGCUGCCAGGCUGAACUGCAACUACAAGAGCCUGUGAGAACCAUCUGCAAGAUGGGCCAAAAGAGCUUGGUAUGAGUAUCCGGUAGUGACACUUUUUUCAGAGGCCACUGGAUGGCGCCCUUGGUUUCAUUGACUUAAGUCAGGUCCAAACAUUUUACAGCAGACAGUGCCAUCUGGUGGCCUCAGAAAAUCAUUACACUGUUUCAUGAAACCUCAUCAACGCUUCAAUACUGUGUCAUGAAACCUCACCUGCUCAUCACUACUAUCAGGUCAGGAUGGGUGGUUUUGUUGGCUAACCUUGAGUUCCAUCAUUGGUCACUCACUAGGAAGGUUCCUCAUCUGUGAUCUGAGAAGGACACAUUGACUCUUUCACACUGAAGUCACCUCUGCUUCUGGUUCUCCUGAAGGAAAUGAGAACAUGAAGCCCUGGAACAGCACCCGAUCAGAAACAUCCUUCACCAUCGAAUUAAUGUCAAGGUUUUGAAGUAAAUUCCUAUGGGAAUCCACAGCCCCUCUGACCCUGCUGCCCACAACCUUCUUUGGUUCAGGACGCAUGCCAACAAA